rnacentral:rRNA from 1 species
UACGUAGGGGGGCAAGCGUUUGUCCGGAUUUAUUGGGCGUAAAGAGCGUGUGAGGCGGCCAGGUAGGUCCGCUGUGAAAACUCGAGGCUCAACCUCGAGAUGUCGGCGGAAACCAUCUGGCUAGAGUCCGGAAGAGGAAAGUGGAAUUCCCGGUGUAGCGGUGAAAUGCGCAGAUAUCGGGAGGAACACCGGUGGCGAAGGCGGUUCUCUGGGCAUGAUCUGACGCUGAGGAGCGAAAGUGUGGGGAGUGAACAGG